UCACAACUUGUUUUCUGUCAGGUAACAUAGAGAGGAUAUGGAAUAGGAUCGACUCUGGCAAAUCACUAAGUCGAUCUCCACCCACCAUAAUUUUUCUUUGCAUUUCCAUAGAGUAAAACCUUCAAUUGUAGUUUGGUAAAGUUGACGGCUUCUUUUGUCUUUAUAAGGAUAAUCUAGGUCAAUUCAGUUAAGGCCGACUUGGGAAAAGGUAUUAACCUCCCUAAUAGAUCUGAUUGAGAUGGUUCGAGCACGUGAUGAG
rnacentral:lncRNA from 1 species